GGCUGGAUGGCCGAGCGGUCUAAGGCGCUAGACUCAAGAACCAAGUUCUUCUUCAUAAUGUGAGGUGUAUUCUAGUAUCGCAAGAUGCGUGGGUUCGAAUCCCACUCCAGUCA